rnacentral:tRNA from 1 species
CUGGCGCUCGAGCACUUCGGCGGCCGGGGCCGCUUCGGUCGGUCCCGACGCGGUGCCGACCGAGGUGCCGGCC